UAACAUCGGAAUGUGUUAAUAUGCUAAAAAAUUGGAAAGAUACAGAGAAGAUUAGCAUGGCCACUGUGCAAGGAUGACGCACAAA
rnacentral:snRNA from 1 species